AUGGGGGGGGGGAAGCGUAGCAUGAUGUGGGUUGGCCGCCUACAGAAAGUACAUCUAAGGCUGAGUCCCAAGCCCGUCCACUUCUGCCGGCCCGCGCCCCCUGACCCUUGCCGGGGCACAGUGGGGGGGGGGUGCAAGCCCAGGACCCACACUCCAACCAGCCAAGGCAGGAUCUCCGCGGCUGAUACAGGCUCCUCGGUCUCUGGGGGUCGCCCACGGAGCCCGACCUUCCCUUUCCAGCCGGGACCAACUGCAGAACUUGGGGCGCAGGAUUUCUGCAGGAUCCUGGGUCCCUCCCUCCAGACCUUCCUUCUGGGCUGUGUAGAAAACCCGGCCAACCUAGCAGAGCCCGUCGGAACUGCUCCACGAGGCUGGCAGGAGGUUUGCUCCCCAAGUUAAAACAACGACAAAAAAGCAACAACAUCUCUUGAGGACAUUCAAGACCCUUCAUCUCGCCAAGCUGGGCACUUUAAAUAGGCCACAGGUCCCCCAGGAUUCAUGGGAGCCAACUGAUUCAGAGACUUAAGCAAACAGCGCUGAAGUUUCCGUGCUGGUUUCAUUUUAAGCUUUUAAAUCGAAAGAGAAAAUGGUCUUCACUGCUAACAGGGAUAGAGACUGGACCUGUGGUUUACUUGGAUGGGAGACUUUUAGGUGAGAAAACUCCUCCUACAAAGCCAGUUCCAGUUGGUAUCUCCUCUAUAAUUUAUAAUCUUAGAGAAUGACCCAGGACAGAGGUGCCAGAUCAGAUUAAAUGUAUUUGGGAAAUACUUAAUAAAAUAAAUGAAAAUAAUAGACCA
rnacentral:lncRNA from 1 species